rnacentral:misc_RNA from 1 species
GGAAGAUGGAGAUUACUUUCUAUGAAUUUAAGGUGCAAGUAAAUUUCUGGUGUAUCAAUGGAACUCCCAUUCUCACAAUCUCCUGGCAGCCCAGCCUCAUAAGAAGGGAAGUUUGUUAUUAACUGAAUAUAGAUUUCGAAGCCCAAUCGUAUGCCUCUUUCGACUGUUUUAGAGAAAGUGGGAUGCAUUAAAGGGAGUAAUAAUAAUAGAUUGGC